UGGUUCAUGACUGGGGUGAAGUCGUAACAAGGUAGCGCUAGGGGAACCUGGCGCUGGAUCACCUCCUUAUACGAAGAU
rnacentral:rRNA from 5 species